rnacentral:rRNA from 1 species
UACGAAGGGUGCAAGCGUUACUCGGAAUUACUGGGCGUAAAGCGUGCGUAGGCGGUUUGUUAAGUCCGUUGUGAAAGCCCUGGGCUCAACCUGGGAAUUGCAGUGGAUACUGGCGAGCUAGAGUGCGGUAGAGGAUGGUGGAAUUCCCGGUGUAGCGGUGAAAUGCGUAGAGAUCGGGAGGAACACCCGUGGCGAAGGCGGCCAUCUGGACCAGCACUGACGCUGAGGAGCGAAAGCGUGGGGAGCAAACAGG